rnacentral:rRNA from 1 species
UACGAAGGGGGCUAGCGUUGCUCGGAAUCACUGGGCGUAAAGCGCACGUAGGCGGCUUUUUAAGUCAGGGGUGAAAUCCUGGAGCUCAACUCCAGAACUGCCUUCGAUACUGGGAGUCUUCGAGUCCGGGAGAGGUGAGUGGAACUGCGAGUGUAGAGGUGAAAUUCGUAGAUAUUCGCAAGAACACCAGUGGCGAAGGCGGCUCACUGGCCCGGUACUGACGCUGAGGUGCGAAAGCGUGGGGAGCAAACAGG